ACGAGUGGAACCAUUAGUUGAAGGAGAAGGAGAGGGAAAUAUUGUGAGGCCCGUGAUGCGCAUAGGGUCUUGGGGUUCCUUCACGACCUCGAAUGACGAUGAUUCUUCGAGCAGUACUACGGAGCCUGCAAAUAUUUCACCCAAUAUGAGAGGUUGUCCCAAGAGCCGUGAAACUUCUUUCAGUGCAAAGAACGUACCAUCCUCUGAAAUUGCUUCGUAUACUGAUCCAAA
rnacentral:misc_RNA from 1 species